CUUCGCGCUCGCUCGCUCGCUCGCUUCGAUCUUCGCCGGGAAUUUGGACUCAAACCUUCUUUCUAGCGUAAUGUCGCUCCCUGUUCGCCAGCUCUCUUCAUUGCAAACCGCCGUUGCAAUCUCCUGCACUAUUCUCCGGCUACUCACAGUCGAAUUGAAUUAGUCUUCACAGUCUUGCGGAGCGAGCGAGAGAGAGGCGCAAUGCUGUUUGCAUGACGAGUACGUGUGCUAGGCUCACGACACCUCUUCGCCUCGAGAUGAUCUUAUUGCAAGAGAACUGGUCGUAAACCAUGACAAUAUGGAAAUCCAGUUCGGUAUGAAUUGUCAUUGGUGUAGUGGCUACCAUAUUCCUGUUCGCAUUGACAUGGACGAACAGUCCCUUCAUGGACGAUUUGCCAGCAACUGUGGAAGUUCACGUAGCCAUAUCGACAGCGGUCAAGGAAUCAGGUGACUGCAGACCCUACUUACAUGUUGAUAAAAUAUGCGGGGAUCACGAGUGGUUUCAUGAGAGACUUCUGCGCGGAAGACAAUAUUGUUUACAAAAUUGUGCUCGGACCAAUUUACUCUGCAAUGUAAACAGCCCAAGCUGAUGUUACGGAGUCGCGACGACCCUUUACCUAAGUUUUCAUCGGCAGCCUAGCGUCUUUGGUACGAAUGCAACACAUGGCCGUAGAAACCGUGUGGAAAGUUACCGAGCUCCAUAACAAUGAUAUAAAUAAUAACCGCAAGAGAUUGCCAGAAACUUUUUGUAGUUUUGAUUAUAAACCUCGUCGAGGAGAAUACAGCUCCUCGUUUCUAGCAGACUCCAAAAUAGGUAGUAGUUAUGAUCGUCAGCAACAUGUCCUGGAAUUGAGUGGUGAUUCAACUGCAGAGCAAAAAGUUGAAUCUUGUACAUCGAUCUUAAGUUCGGAUGACUAAUCCACAAUUGUCUGUCAUUUGUAAUUUGACAGGA